UUCCGGUUGAUCCCGCCGGAGGCUACUGCUAUCGGGGUCCGACUAAGCCAUGCGAGUUGAGAGGGGUAAGCCCUCGGCAUAUUGCUCAGUAACACGCGGAUAACCUGCCCUUGGGUUUGGGAUAACCCCGGGAAACUGGGACUAAUGCCGGACAGAUCAAAGAUACUGGAAUGUUCUUUGUUCGAAAGCUCCGGCGCCCAAGGAUGGGUCUGCGGCCUAUCAGGUAGUAGUGGGUGUAACGUACCUACUAGCCUACGACGGGUAAGGGUUGUGAGAGCAAGAGCCCUGAGAUGGAUUCUGANACAUGAAUCCAGGCCCUACGGGGUGCAGCAGGCGCGAAAACUUUACACUGCGGGAAACCGCGAUAAGGGGACCCCGAGUGCCAGCACCUAGUGCUGGCUGUCCAGCUGUUCAAAAAACAGUUGUUAGCAAGGGCCGGGCAAGACCGGUGCCAGCCGCCGCGGUAACACCGGCGGCCCGAGUGGUAGCCGUUAUUAUUGGGUUUAAAGGGUCCGUAGCCGGCUUAUUAAGUCUCUUGGGAAAUCUGGCGACUCAAUCGUCAGGCGUUCAAGAGAUACUGAUAGGCUUGGGACCGGGAGAGGUGGGAGGUACUCCAGGGGUAGGGGUGAAAUCUCGUAAUCCUUGGGGGACCACCGAUGGCGAAGGCAUCCCACCAGAACGGGUCCGACGGUGAGGGACGAAAGCUGGGGGCACGAACCGGAUUAGAUACCCGGGUAGUCCCAGCUGUAAACGAUGCUCGCUAGGUGUCAGGUGCGGUGCGACCGCAUCUGGUGCCGUAGUGAAAAACUUGA
rnacentral:rRNA from 1 species